GGUCAACGACUCAGCGUGCUACCCUUCCCAGCCAUAAAAAAAACCCAAAUUCUCGUUCUCCUCCCGUUCCUUUUUCACCGUUCCUUGCCUGAUCCAUGGAUUCAUCCAUCCACAUUAGUUGCUAGAUCCUGCCAAGGGAGGAGGACGGGGUGAGAAGGGGGAUUUGCGGCGGAGUGCGGUGGUUGCAUGCUCUCGGCGACGGCAGGUCCUCCAGCUCGACCACAUGUGCCUGCUGCUCGCCGCCGCCGUCAAUUGGAUGGCCGUGGAGUUGGGCCCCUUUGAACCUGAGCGGUUCCUCUCCUUCAGCGAGUGGCUGCACCAAAUCCAUUCACUGGCCUGCCCGUGCAUCACUAAAGCUGGGAAGGAGAUGCUCUUGAGGCCAGAUCGGACCGAGGCUGGGGCACGCGUUCCAGCUUCAGAUUCUGCGCCCCUAGCAGCGAGGUCAUGAGGCAAAGCGGUCGCAUGGGAGGCCACUGGAGAAUAUGAUAAAUCCGUUUUGCUGAGUGGCGUUGCUCUCCUGUUUGUGCCACUGGGCCGAGAGUUGUGCCGUCGGGUUCGACAGCCAUGUUCUUCAUAGUGUUCCUCGUCGUCUAUGGCAGAGUAGUAGGGAUGGAGAGACCACGGGUGGAGGCGUGUUGUGGGCUUGCUACUUCUGUCAGUUUCCACCUAUGUAAUGUGCUACAACUUUGCAACAUUACUACUUGUUGCACACCGGUUAAUUCGUCACAGGUAUGCUUCCUCCCUGUAGUUUGAUAAAAAGGUGUAUUCUUUCUAUUUGUUGUUACCAUAUAGUAUUAGCAAGUUAUAUUAAUGAUAUGUGUUUUUAAGACAAAAGAAAAAGGCUUGCAUUUAUUAACUGAAUUUGGUCCAUAUGUGUGAAUAUAUAUGCAAUAGAGUUUUCGCAUGUGUUGUAGGUGAUGCAUAUAACACUGGAGCUUUUUUCAUUGUUCUCCUCAACUGAAAAGGCUAGACAGAAGAGCUGUUACCAAGAACAUUAAACUCACUAAAGUGCAUGUCUGAAUUUACUAGACCUUCCAUAGUAACCAUGAAUGUAAUUAGAAAAUGCAUGCAGGGAUUAAAUAUGCAAAUUGUACAUUGAUGACCUAUGGAAAAUAUCUGAACCCGAAUGGAUGAACUGAUGAUUUAGAACAACUCUUACUAACCUUUCAAAUUUCAGAAUUUACGGGAAUCACUUGUCGCAUAUGUCAUCUUCUACAAAAAUACUCCGCGGACAACAAAAUAGCUACUGUUACUUUAGGACUACAAAAUAAUCUAUUAGACUCAUUUUGCAGCGAUAAGAAAUAGCAUAUAGCAUGUUGUACAGGAAAAAAUUGUGCAGUAGAAUUGUAGCGUUGCCUUUCACUUAUAUUAGACACUCAAAAACUAUACUUAUUGUCAUAGAAACAUAGACUGAUUGGAACAUAUCUAGUACUCCCUCUGUAAACUAAUAUAAGAGCAUUUAGAUCACUAAAGUAGUGUUCUAAACACUCUUAUAUUAGUUUACGGAGGGAGUAGAAUAUAGCCUUCAGGUGCAGAACUGAAAACAACAUGCAACAGUACGAUUGUCUCUGACCACCCGGAUAAAUGUAUAAUAGUCCUUCCAUAGUAACCACGAAUGUAAUUAGAAUUAUUUCAAAAAAAAUGAAUGUAAUUAGAAAAUGCAUGCAGGGAUCAAAUAUGCAAAUUGUACAUUGAUGACCUAUGGAAAAUAUCUUAACUCGAAUGGAUGAACUGAUUACUGAGAUCAACUCUUACUAACCAUUCAAAUUUCAGAAUUAAUGGAAAUAACUUGAAUUUAUAAGGAUUCACACACAUAUCAUCUUCUAGGAAAAAUCUGCACACAAUACAAUAGCUAUUGUUACUUAAUGACUACUAAAAUAAUCUAUUAUGCUCAUUUUUUAACGAUAAGAGUUGCAUAUAGCAUCUUGUAUAUCAUAACAAUUCUGCAAACAAUAGUAGCUGCUGUUACUAACACAUUGUAUAAUAUGUAAUCUGUUAUAUCCUGAAUUCAGGACCUUUACGCAUUAGUCCUAAGGAUAGCAGUUAGCUUGUAUACAUAAACUUAUCCUUUUUCAAACUGUAAAUCUAAUAUGCACAAUGAUCUGAGAAAAUACCAUUGGAUACAUAUGUCUUUAUACAUUUUGUCAAACACUUGGCAAGUAUGUCCAAAUUCUAACUAACUGUUAGACAGAGUAGGGCGAGGAGUUGAUUAAAUCUAGAAAGAGGAUAGGGCCAUGUUUCAAACAAUUCUGCUAUUACGCCAAGUAAUACCUGCAUCUGGAGUCGAAUUGUUUCUCUUUAUGCGACUUGUAAGUCACAUCCUUGGUGGUCAUCUUACUAUGCUUGUAGACCAUGCUGAUCUAUCCUCUUGCAGACAGUCCUACAUGCCUUGAUCGACCUGUGUAUGACACAACUCCAAGAUAGCACGAUAGCAUUCUUCCUACUUUGCGACAUGAUUCUUGUCAAGUGUUUCCUAUGGACAGGAACAGGAUGAUGAGACACGACUGGUUCCUCGGGAGGCGGAAUCUUCAACACCUAACCGAUUGAGGAGAAGAUCUUGUGGAGAGUGGACACAUAAUGCAUGGCUUCGAGGUUUUGGUGGCGCUGUAGGAUGUGGGCUGCAGCCACACAGGACAGGAUGAAUAGUGCGGCCCUAGAGUAGACCAUCAGAAACCCUAGAACUGGGCUACUCGAGAGGCAUAGUUUUGGGGUUUCGAUGGAUCUAUAGGAGGUGAGCUGCAGUUGCACAGGAGGAAUAGCUCGGCCCUAGGGCAGACCAUCAAAAACCCUAAAACAUGGACUGCUCGAGAGGCAUAUGGCUUUGAAGUUUCGGUAGAGCUGUAGGACGUGAAAUCAGAAUGAGCUUCUAGAGCGUACAUCUCUUUUUGUAUGCAACGUGUCAGGAUUUUUUUACCAUAUUGAUGCCCGUACUUGAACUUUUUUUUGAAGUGGCCCGUACGUGAACCU